UUGGCAAACGCUGCAUUUUUUGUAGAGGAAAGUCCAUGCUUGCACUAUCCUGAAAUGGUAGUAGUGAUUGUGCAUAGGGAAAAAAUAACCUAUGGUAAGUUUUAUACUUAACGGCAUCGAAAUUACCCUAUAAGGGUUUUAGUAGAUAUAAAGUGCCACAGUGACGAUAUUUCUAGUAAUAGAAAGGUGAAACGCGGUAAACCCCACAAGCAAGAAACCCAAAUUAUGGUAGGGGAGUUUAAAGUAAGGAAUAAGUAACUUGCUUUAGAACCAGUAUUGGUAGAUAGAUGUUUGCCCCUUUUUAUUAAGGACAGAACAUGGCUUAUAA
rnacentral:RNase_P_RNA from 1 species